GUGUUAAACUGCUUACUUUGGAGUUUGGACACAAAUGGCAAUCCUUGACUAUUAGACUAUGAAAGUGAUCUAGAGAAUUGUUUAGCAGUUAGCGGGAAACCUCGUUUGUAGUAAGAGUCAGUAUGUCUCUUUUGGUAGUUUGGAUGUGUUACAAGGUUCGUUUCUUUGUGCUAGUUUUAUGUAUAUUCCAAUUGAUAGAUCACAACUAUCAAUUCCAG
rnacentral:misc_RNA from 1 species